GAUGAACGCUAGCGGCAGGCCUAAUACAUGCAAGUCGAACGGUAAGUAUGAUAGCAAUAUUGUACCAAGAGUGACGUACGGGUGCGUAACACGUAUGCAACCUACCCUUUACAGAUGGAUAGCUCGGGGAAACUCGAAUUAACCCGUCAUAAUAUAAUUGAAUGGCAUCAUUUGGUUAUUAAAUCUACGGAGGUAAAGGAUGGGCAUGCGUCUGAUUAGUUAGUUGGCGGGGAACGGCCCACCAAGACGAUGAUCAGUAGGGGAACUGAGAGGUUGAUCCCCCANACUGGCACUGAGAUACGGGCCAGACUCCUACGGGAGCAGCAGUAGGAAUNUUGGCAAUGGAUGGAAGUCUGAACCAGCCAUGCCGCGUG
rnacentral:rRNA from 1 species